rnacentral:rRNA from 1 species
CAGCGGCGAACGGGUGAGUAACACGUGGAUAACCUGCCCUCGGCACCGGAAUAGCCCGGGGAAACCCGGAUUAAUGCCGGAUAGCCCCACAUCCCUGCGGGGAACGUGGGAAAAGGUAGCUUCGGCCUCUGGCCGAGGAUGGGUCCGCGGUGGAUUAGCUUGUUGGUGCGGGUAAUGGCCCACCAAGGCGACGAUCCAUAGCUGGUCUGAGAGGACGAUCAGCCACACUGGGACUGAGACACGGCCCAGACUCCUACGGGAGGCAGCAGUGGGGAAUCUUGCGCAAUGGGCGAAAGCCUGACGCAGCGACGCCGCGUGCGGGAAGAAGGCCUUCGGGUUGUAAACCGCUUUCAGGAGGGACGAAGCCAGGGCGGUGAAUAGCCGACCCUGGUGACGGUACCUCCAGAAGAAGCCCCGGCUAACUACGUGCCAGCAGCCGCGGUAAUACGUAGGGGGCAAGCGUUGUCCGGAAUCAUUGGGCGUAAAGCGCGUGUAGGCGGUCCGGUAAGUCGGUUGUGAAAGUCCAGGGCUCAACCCUGGGAUGCCGACCGAUACUGUCGGACUA